UACGGAGGGUGCAAGCGUUAUCCGGAUUCAUUGGGCGUAAAGGGUGCGUAGGCGGCGCGGUAAGUCGGGUGUGAAAUCUCGGAGCUUAACUCCGAAACUGCAUUCGAUACUGCCGUGCUUGAGGACUGGAGAGGAGACUGGAAUUUACGGUGUAGCGGUGAAAUGCGUAGAGAUCGGGAGGAACAUCCGUGGCGAAGGCGGCCAUCUGGACCAGCACUGACACUGAGGCACGAAAGCGUGGGGAGCAAACAGG
rnacentral:rRNA from 1 species